GCUGAGGAGCUGAAGCCGUGGCCAGCUAGACGCCGGACAGUCCAGCGAGCAGCACGGCGGGAACCGGCAGCCGGAGCAGUCCCGGAGCAGAAGCAGCAGCAGCAGCAGCCCUCGCCGUUCGCGGAGCGCAGCCGAGCCGGCCAUGGCGUUGUCGAUGCCUCUGAAUGGGCUGAAGGAGGAGGACAAAGAGCCCCUCAUCGAGCUCUUCGUCAAGGCUGGCAGUGAUGGUGAAAGCAUAGGAAACUGCCCCUUUUCCCAGAGGCUCUUCAUGAUUCUUUGGCUCAAAGGAGUUGUAUUUAGUGUGACGACUGUUGACCUGAAAAGGUAAGACAUGGUCGCAGUUUGCAAUCAACUUAAGCUGAACUAUCUUUUCAGUUUGAUCCUGUUUUCACCUUGAUGGCAUGUAUUCUCUAAAGGAAAUAUAUUGCAUUAAAGU
rnacentral:sRNA from 1 species